rnacentral:rRNA from 1 species
GACGAACGCUGGCGGCGUGCUUUAUACAUGCAAGUUGAACGAGAAAGCAUUCUUCGGAGUGUGAGUAAAGUGGCGAACGGGUGAGUAACACGUGGGUAAUCUGCCCACGGGCUGGGGAUAACAUGCCUAACGGCGUGCUAAUACCGAAUAAUGCACUAAGAUGUAGGUUUUAGUGUUAAAGGUGUCUUUCGGGACAUUGCCUGUGGAUGAGCCUGCGCUCCAUUAGCUAGUUGGCAGGGUAAGAGCCUACCAAGGCGACGAUGGAUAGCCGGCCUGAGAGGGUGACCGGCCACACUGGGACUGAGAUACGGCCCAGACUCCUACGGGAGGCAGCAGUAAGGAAUAUUGCGCAAUGGAGGAAACUCUGACGCAGCAACGCCGCGUGGGUGAUGACGCUCUAUGGAGUGUAAAGCCCUGUUAGAAG